CCUGACACAGAACAUUACACGGCUUUAACAGUUGGAGGUGACCGGGCAACAACAACGAUCGAGGGGACAAACAGGAUCAGCACCACGGAGAGUCGGAGACACAGUGAGCAGAUGACAUAUCUUUGGUCGACAAAGUGGCUCGGGGUUACAGUCCUCCUUGUCCGUAGGGCGCAGCAGCUCGUCACAGUCGUUGCUGGACAGCAUGUCAUCUGACAGACAUCGAACCUCUCGAACUCGGAAUCCUCCUUCACACGUCUUUGAGCACUGGAAAAACACAGGCCUUGAGGUUACAACUCUGCUGACUGAGGGGCCGCUCCAGUGACGAGCACUCGUACGGUGGCAUGACGGUGAAUCCUUCAUCGGACCUCAUCAGACACACCACUGCCCUCUGCUGGCUGCCCGCACCACACUCUGCUGAGCACUGCGUCACACACACAACGGUUUACACAGAAUAAUGUUAAAUGAAAACAUGACAAGAGCGCCAUCCAUUGGUGCAGACUUGGAGACAAACUUUUGGCAGACCAGUCCACCUCGGUCCGACUUCCUGUCCUGGGCGUACCUGACUCCAGGGUCCAGUGAACCACUCGAUGCGAUUUUCACAUGGGCCGUUGUUGCAGGCCUGAGAAUCGGUGGGCCGCUCACUGCCACACCCCUCCAGAGGUAGGCUGCUGAUGUGAUUGGUCAAACAGAGGACCCCCCUCGUCCGUACACCUAACCCACAUUCAGCAGAACACUGAGACACAAAAGUAAAUACCUUGUUAUAUUUUUCAGCCUCUAGGCUUGUAACGUGGAAAAUACGCACAGGUACGAGUACUUCGUUUGAUUUAUACAUAUGUGUUUUUGAUAUUUACAUAGAACAAUUGUAUUAUCAACAUUCUUUUUUAAAUUGUUUUUAAAAUUAAAAAUGUAUUUUUCACUGCAACUCAUGAAGACUUCCUGUU